ACUUAAUAGGAUCUAUGUAAAGCAAACAGAAUUGAUCGAAUCUCAUAAAUAUACUGAAGAAAGAAAUCCCAAGUAAAGAACUCACUCUGAUGAAUGCCACUUCAGACUUGAGAUUUUUCCUCAAUGCUAGCUCUCUCUCUCUCUCUCUCUCUCUCGUUCUAGUUAUAUAUAUUCAUUACAGACAGCACAAAAUCAUUCAUCUCUCUCUCUCUCUCUCUCUCUCUCUCUCUACCUCUGAAUCUGCAGAGAUGGAAGCAGUAACGAGAUCUUCCACUAGAAUCCUUGUAAACAACUUCGAUAGCAAAAGCUUACCUUUGUCGAGAGCUCCUCUCGGGAAAUCUCAGAUCAACUUCUUCGGAUCUUUGAUUCUCGUCUCAAUCCCACUCAAGAAGACAGUUCAAUGCGUCCCUUUAUCAAAAACAGAGGUUUCUACUACUGCAAAUGCUGGGAUCCAAACAAUGCGUAAAUUUUUUUUUUGAAGUUUUUCCAAGUAUGAAUAAGAUGACAGUUACUUAUAUAAACAUUUGGUUUGUUGGAAUCUUUUACAGAGGCAUCAAAGACUGUUCAUGUGAAAUUUCAGUUGCAGAAAGAACACUUUUUGUUUGGAAAUCUCAGAUCAACAAUAUUUUGGGCCAUCCUCCCCAUAGGAGGGAAACCCAACCCAACAGUUUUCAUUUGUAUUGAAUGCAAGGAUGUACCUGUGUUGAGGUCAACACAAUUCAAGUAUGUACUUAGAGGAAGCAAGGGGGAAAUUUUCUGGCAACCUGGCCCAGACUGACGUUUCCAGACAUGGGAAACAAACAACACAAUUACCAUUACUGAAGAUUGGGAGAAUGCUGAGGCCCAGAAGUUAACCGAGCUGCAAAUGAUCUAUCCAAACGAGGAACUGGUGAAUGUUUUUGCAACAAAAUCAAUUGUUGAUGACAGUGUUACUAAUCUAAUAGAAGAAUCCAUGUCGAAUGUACAGGAAGAUGUGACGUCUGCCGAUGAUAUUGCUUUUCCAGAAGAUCAACAGACCGUUAACAAAAUCAAAUUCAUUGUAACAGAGAAUGGAACUCAUCAAAAACAAGGGCCAUGGGUCAAUGCAAAAGCCAUCAACAGAAACCAAUGGAAGACUACAAUGGCUGAGAAGAAACCAACAGUGUGGAACCAGAGAAGUUAGUCUUCACCUAUGAAGAAGGUCAUGUUUGGUACCUGGCUUGAACCCAAUGCCUGCGAUGUCAGCUAAUAAAGCACCUUACAGAGAAAUUGGUAUAUGCAAUGGUGAUGCCUUGCCUAAAGUUAAUGCAUCCAAGGACUAAGACAUGCUUGAAUUUACUUGAUGAAUUGAACUGAGCUGAACUCUCUAUUUCAUUGUCAAUUAAAUUAACAGAAGCUACUGCACAUUGAAUAACCCUUAUAGGCAAAUAUUGCACCAUAUAUGAUAAAAUAUUUGAAACUACUUGUACUGAAGCAAAAAUAAGUACUUUUCGGACAUUGGAUAAAGGUCAGUAAAUUUGACCAAAAUUUCUGUGUCUCUCGUUAAGAAGUCAAGGGUUUAAGUGCAAGACUCCUCAACACACAAACACCAAGUAAGAAGGAAGAAAGAAAAAGGAAAAAAAAUAGCAAAUUUUGUAUCACAAUAAUGCAAACCUUGUCAGGAGGUAAUGAGAGCUUGCAACA